rnacentral:lncRNA from 1 species
UUCAAGGCACAGAAACUUCUUAUCACAAAUAAGUUAAUCCAAAACACGAAGUAGAAAAGGAAAACUGGACAGCUCUCGGUGAAACUGAUAAUAAACUCCUGCAAAGCAGAUUGUUUGGUUCUUCUUCCUCCAUGGUGCCUGGCCCAUCAUUCUGCAGAUAUAAGGUAGGCACUCGUUAAUAUUUUGCUCCUUUGAUUACUAUAACUGAAAAGCUGGGAUUCUAUAGGAUGUGGCCCCUUAAAAU